GAACCACUUCUGCCCCAAAAGAGUGCAGUUCUCACCAACCAUGCCAGGGUGGACCUUGGGUGACAGGAACUUCUGCUGUCCCACCUUCUGAGCCCAUUCUCAGCUAUGAGAACAUUUUAAAGUGUGCUUUUCAAGAUAUAACAGUCCAGCAGGCAGCUGAAGACAUUUCCACCAUAGACCAUUUCCUAGAAAUAAGCAGUGAAGAAAAACCUGGCCUUGAAUGUGUACAUAAAUUGUGGUAAUGAACUUAAGAAAUAUUUCUUACAGCAACUGCUUUUGUACUUUUGUUUGAUAAAAGUAGGUGUGUGAGGCUUUGUUUUUGCCUUUAUGGAGAGUAGCAUCUCUCCUGAGGUCCCUGCCAUCUGUGGGUCAUAGGGGUCCUAUGAGAAGGGGCAGCACGAUUGACGCUCCAGCUGUGGCCUUCCACUCUGAGCCCUAUUCAUCCUCCUCCCCAGCCAGCUCACCUGGAGCAGC
rnacentral:lncRNA from 1 species